UACAUUGUAUAUAUUUAAUGGUGUAGCUCAAUAUAAAACAUUUACAGAAAUGCUUCAAUAACAGUAAGGCAGAUUUUUUUCUGCUAUAAUCUUACUAAAAAGCAUUUUUUAACAUGAUAUAUGAUUUUCACAUGUGCUAGCUGUUAUAAAUAGAAUCAAAAGCAUAAGACUAUUAAAUUUUCUAAUAAAUAAACAAAUGUGUGCGCUAGAGCUAAAGAAAAUGUAGACAUAGGACUUUGGUUUGACAAAAAAAAAGGCUUUACAUUAAGGUUCAAAAUAAAAAAAAGUUAACAUAACAGUAUUAGACUUUAUUUUUGACACAUUUUUUCUUCUAUAAAUUUGACCUCUUUUUCCCUGCUUUUUCAUAGUGAUAUUUCUUCCUGCUUCUGCUGGAAGUCUGAAAGAAGUUAACAUAGGACUUCAAUUAAUUGAAUUUCUCUGUCAAUGCAUAAACAUGGAAUAACUAUAACUUGAAGAAAGUUACAUAGAUUAGGGGAUAUCACUGAGCACUAUAUUGUACCUGCUCACUCCAUGGCUUAUAAAUAUACAUAUAAUAUAUAUAUAUAAAUAAAAUGAAUAAAUUCAACAAUAAAAAGUAUUUAUUGCACUACAUUGUAUUACCUUGCUGAGAAAAAAAGAUUACAGAAACUAAGGUAUUAAUGCUUUCAUUUGAUCUUGAACUUUAACCUUGUGCUGUUUGGUUCAAACACAAAAACAACAUAUAAACAAACAAACAAAUAAAUAAAACAUAAAUUCCUCUUGGCAGUGGCUACCAAAACUUGCAUUCUACCCUAGCAAAAAUAAUCCUGACCUUGCAAAAUGUAAAUUUAAAAGUUUAAUCUAUUCCAUGUAAAGGAGUAUUUUUCUUAUAUAUUUAAUAUAAUAAAUCAAAAUUCAAAUUCUGUAACAGUCAAGGCACAUUUAACAAAAAAUAAUACUUCAGUAUAUUGGUCCCUACAGAAAGGUACAUGUUGGAUACAGACGGCAACCAAACAAUACAAAAACAAACAAAAUCUAGCGGUCAAUUCACAGUCUGCAUCAUCAGACUGGUGUCUAAACAAAAUGCAAAGUUUUGAAUCACCCCAUGUCUAACAAAUUUGUGCUUGCAUUUAAAAAAAAUAGAUAUCAUUCUAUCUCAACUUUAUCUACUUGUGAUUUUACUUAAAACACCCAAACAACAAAUAAACAAUCAAUACAAAAAUAUUCUGUUACUGUUUUUACUCAAAAAAUUGUAAAGGCACUGUUUAUGUUAAUAGUACAUGUGUACUGUGUUUUUCAAAAUGCAUAGAAAUAGACUCAUAAUAUUUUCAAUUCAUGAUACUGUAAAAUUGUUCUUGUAAUUCUUGAAGGGGGUAGAAGGUAACUCUUUAAAUCAUUAUGCUUUUGUAAAAGUCAAGUUUCGUCAAUGAAUUUUAAGCAUUUACCUGAAACAGAUUGGAAAUCAUCUAUGUAUCCAAGAUGCUUAGAACAUAUUUAUGAAAAUGGCUGACACAAACGUACUGAUGAUUUUAUGAGUUAUUUCCCUUAACCUAGGUCUACCUCCUUAAAAGACUUCUAUAACAUAACAAACUUAUUUUUUUUUACAAUAUACUAAACCAAAUUUAAAAUACUAAAUUCAAUGCAUAUGGUGUAAACUCAUAAUAAUCUUAUUUGAAUUUUAUUCACUUCGCUGAAUUUUGAAAAAAAUCAUCAGACAAAAAUUCUACAAAGUACAUAAAAAAAGGAAAUAAUCUAAUGCCAAAAUAAAGUGACCCUGCCAUUGAGUUGUGUAAUUGUAAACUUUUUUUGCUUUAAUCACUAUAAUGUGUAUAAAUAAAUGAAUGAACAAUUGUAAUAUACAAUCUAAAUUCAAAAUUAAAUUCAUAAUAAAACUAAAGAGGUUUUGUAUGUAAUAUUAUAUUGCAUAUAUAAUAAACAAAGUAAAUGAUUUAAUACAAUUUCUUUGAACACUAAUAACAAUAUCUUUUAAAGCUGACUGUCGACUGGUGACUGGUAUCUACAUCUUAAGUAAUGUUCUGGAAAAAAGUAUAAGAAUCAUG
rnacentral:lncRNA from 1 species